UUAAGAAAUAGAUUAUGAAUCCAUCAUUCAUGUUCGAACUCCAUUGAAGCGAAUGGUGCACCAGAUGGAAACUCGUGUAUUCAAAAACGCACCACAACACAAAAGCAGCGGAGGAGCAUCAAAGGGAAACGAAAAUUCUCACUGUCGGCGCCGAAGAACCUCCCUCUCUGGCAACCUCCAAAAAUCAUGAACCAAUCAAGAAGCUUAAAUCAACAACGCCGCAAUCGGCGCAAUUCCAAAUCAUGUUCAAGAAAUCACUGAAGCUUACGACUCAAUGCCGUGACCAUGAACAUGAUUCCGGCGCAAUGCCAUGAUGCACACCUCAAAUACAAUUCUCGAAAAUGUAAAACUUUGUUCACAGAUGGACGAAUACGAAGAGAGAAGACUUACCAGACGACAAUCGAUGCGACAACUCCGGAGUCUGCAAUUGAUUCGGUUGAUGGAGAUUUGAAUAUGGCUUCGGUUGUGGAGCCUGGAAACGAUUAGAGAUCCCCCCGGUUCAGGUUGUCGGUUCUGUGAUAUAUCGUUGUGAGGUUUUGUGAUAUGUAGUUAGGGACGGUUUUUGUAGUUAGUUUUUCCAGGUUUGUUGCAGAGUGAGGAAGAAGUGUGGAGGGUUUUAUUUUUGGGAAGCAGGUUAUUGGAAGUUGAUAGAAAACGGUUGUAGUGAUUCUGUUAUGGAGGUUCUAAUGGGUUGAAAUCUCAGUUUUUCGGGUUGAUCCCAGAGUGAGAGGAAGAAGUGUGGAGGGUUGGUUUGGAGAUGAGGGUGGUCGAAGAAGAGGUUAUGGAGGAUGGAGUUGUUCUUAUAUGCUCUCGGUUUUGCAGAUUUCUGUUAGUUUUUUUCUCAGUCUGUUAUUCUGUUAUUUAUGAGUUUAUUACAAGUGGUUACAAGCUGUUAGCAUUUGUUAGUAGGUGGUUACGAAAGUUGUGAAGUUGGUUAUGGGAUUGGCUUCGGUUGGAAUUUGGUGAUGCUAAUGCUUGUAGCUGGCGUUUAAUUUGUUGUUGUGCUGCCGUCAGUUGGCUUUGCAGCGGCUUUGUUAUGCUAUUUGAAUUGUCGGCGGGUGCGUUGCAGGUUUUGCGUUUGGAGUUGCUAUGCUGGUUGCUUGAUGUAUGUAUUUUUUUACUUAGUGAAGUGCUUAGUUAAAAUCCACUUGUUAAUUUGUUUGGUAGUUAAAAUUUCCCCUGAGAUAAUCAUGGAAACGAAUGCCUUGGAUCGUUUUCUGUUAUGGAUUGUCAUUGGAAUGAACACGAGCUUCUAGGUAGGAUGUUUGGGAGGCUUGGAGCUAGAGUUCUGUCAUGAUUUUUGUUGUUGUGAAUUUAUAGCCUUGAAGUUGAAUGGAAAUAUAUCGGAAAAUAGACAAUGAAUGGGUGAAUUUUAAAUGAAUGAAAUUGGGUUAAUGUAUGAAAUUCUAAAUGGUAAUUGUAGUAUGGAAUUGGGUAUGGAUUUAUGGAUUGUAGUUAAAUUGGAUAUUGUUAUGAAAAUGAGUUAUUGGUUUAUGGAUUUGGAUCAUGGAUU